UAGCUAGUUGGUGAGGUAAAGGCUUACCAAGGCGACGAUCUGUAGCGGGUCUGAGAGGAUGAUCCGCCACACUGGAACUGAGACACGGUCCAGACUCCUACGGGAGGCAGCAGUGGGGAAUUUUGGACAAUGGGGGCAACCCUGAUCCAGCCAUGCCGCGUGAGUGAAGAAGGCCUUCGGGUUGUAAAGCUCUUUCGGCCGGGAAGAAAUCGCAUGGGCCAAUACCCUGUGUGGAUGACGGUGCCGGAGUAAGAAGCACCGGCUAACUACGUGCCAGCAGCCGCGGUAAUACGUAGGGUGCGAGCGUUAAUCGGAAUUACUGGGCGUAAAGCGUGCGCAGGCGGUUUUGUAAGACAGGCGUGAAAUCCCCGGGCUUAACCUGGGAACUGCGUUUGUGACUGCAAGGCUAGAGUACGGCAGAGGGGGGUGGAAUUCCACGUGUAGCAGUGAAAUGCGUAGAGAUGUGGAGGAACACCAAUGGCGAAGGCAGCCCCCUGGGUCGAUACUGACGCUCAUGCACGAAAGCGUGGGUAGCAAACAGGAUUAGAUACCCUGGUAGUCCACGCCCUAAACUAUGUCAACUAGGUGUUGGGUGGGUAAAACCAUUUAGUACCGUAGCUAACGCGUGAAGUUGACCGCCUGGGGAGUACGGCCGCAAGGUUAAAACUCAAAGGAAUUGACGGGGACCCGCACAAGCGGUGGAUGAUGUGGAUUAAUUCGAUGCAACGCGAAAAACCUUACCUACCCUUGACAUGCCAGGAACUUGCCAGAGAUGGCUUGGUGCCCGAAAGGGAGCCUGGACACAGGUGCUGCAUGGCUGUCGUCAGCUCGUGUCGUGAGAUGUUGGGUUAAGUCCCGCAACGAGCGCAACCCUUGUCGUUAAUUGCCAUCAUUUGGUUGGGCACUUUAAUGAGACUGCCGGUGACAAACCGGAGGAAGGUGGGGAUGACGUCAAGUCCUCAUGGCCCUUAUGGGUAGGGCUUCACACGUCAUACAAUGGUCGGUACAAAGGGUUGCCAAGCCGCGAGGCGGAGCCAAUCCCAGAAAGCCGAUCGUAGUCCGGAUUGCAGGCUGCAACUCGCCUGCAUGAAGUCGAAAUCGCUAGUAAUCGUGGAUCAGCAUGUCACGGUGAAUACGUUCCCGGGUCUUGUACACACCGCCCGUCACACCAUGGGAGCGGGUUCCGCCAGAAGUAGGUAGCCUAACCGCAAGGGGGGCGCUUACCACGGCGGGGUUCGUGACUGUGGUGAAGUCGUAACAAGGUAGCCGUAGGGGAACCUGCGGCUG
rnacentral:rRNA from 1 species